ACGGAGGCGCGUACGUGCCGGCCCCGGACGAGAUGUGCGCCGUACCCGGUCUGAGAAGACGACGCACC
rnacentral:ncRNA from 1 species